rnacentral:rRNA from 1 species
UCUUUUCCUUUUGUGCCCGCCGCCGCGGUAAAACGUAGGGUGCAAGCGUUGUCCGGAAUUACUGGGUGUAAAGGGAGCGCAGGCGGACCGGCAAGUUGGAAGUGAAAACUAUGGGCUCAACCCAUAAAUUGCUUUCAAAACUGCUGGCCUUGAGUAGUGCAGAGGUAGGUGGAAUUCCCGGUGUAGCGGUGGAAUGCGUAGAUAUCGGGAGGAACACCAGUGGCGAAGGCGACCUACUGGGCACCAACUGACGCUGAGGCUCGAAAGCAUGGGUAGCAAACAGG